CCUACGGGAGACAGCAGUGAGGAAUAUUGGUCAAUGGGCGCGAGCCUGAACCAGCCAAGUAGCGUGAAGGAUGACUGCCCUACGGGUCGUAAACUUCUUUUAUAAAGGAAUAAAGUGAGGCACGUGUGCCUUUUUGUAUGUACUUUAUGAAUAAGGAUCGGCUAACUCCGUGCCAGCAGCCGCGGUAAUACGGAGGAUCCGAGCGUUAUCCGGAUUUAUUGGGUUUAAAGGGAGCGUAGAUGGGUUGUUAAGUCAGUUGUGAAAGUUUGCGGCUCAACCGUAAAAUUGCAAUUGAUACUGGCAGUCUUGAGUACAGGUGAGGUAGGCGGAAUUCGUGGUGUAGCGGUGAAAUGCUUAGAUAUCACGAAGAACUCCGAUUGCGAAGGCAGCUUACUAAACUGCCACUGACAUUGAUGCUCGAAAGUGUGGGUAUCAAACAGGAUUAGAUACCCUGGUAGUC
rnacentral:rRNA from 1 species